UAAGUUUGAUGUCAUCAUAAUAUCAUAUUCUCCGAAGUGUGUGCCAUUCAAAUUGAGUAUUGUUGUUUGAGACCUUUGGUACGUAUUUAUUUUAUAAAAAUGAGAGCAAAAUUGUGUACCUGAUGUUAUAUGCAGCUAUGUUUAAUAUAGUCCUAAUAUCUUCAACUCGGCAACAUGGCUAUGAUCAAGGUCUGGCACAUGGUCAGCUCCUUCAAGGUCCUAUACAAUAUAGUCCUGACAACAUUGAAAUAUUAAAUGUCAAGCAGCCUAUUUAAUGCAGGUUUUAUGGGCUAAGUGAGAUAAGGAAGAAUGAUGAAGGUACUGGACUGGAGUCUACCCAUAUUGGGCUUUCUUGUUUUAUGUGAAUGAGCUUUUCGUGCUCUAUUCCUUGCAAGAACCAUAGAUUGUAUACUUCAGAUCGUCGUCAAGAAGCUCAACCCGGAGAGCGUCCAGGGCCUGCAGGAGUGGCAGGAUAACAUGGAGAACUUCAACCCUUUCGGUGAGAAUGGAGAGCAGGGUACAGGGUAAGUACAACUUCAUUUAAGCAUUUGCAG